ACUAUCUCGUCUGUUGUGAUUAUACAAGUUAGACGUUAUCACUCCUGACAGGCGUUAUCUUAUCUUUCCAUCCUAGACAAGAUAUACCGUGAUAAUUAAACCACUGAUUUAGAUAGUUUGGCAUUCUUGGAAAAUUACACAACAAAAACAAAGAGAUACGGAUGAUGAAUAGCGACUCACGUCCUGAAGAAUAGCUGAGAAAGGUUAAGGGUCUGAGGAAUGUUAAAAACGACUAGCGACAGACACCCACGGACGCAAUUCAUCUAUUUCAACUCCUUAUUUUUUCAGGAGGAAGAGCCACAAGGAAAGUUGAUGCUGUGUUUAUUAUUGGAAGUGACGACUCAAGUGUACAACUCAGUACGUCGUAGCCGCAGCCAAACCGGUUUGUAGGUGGUGAAGUCAGCCGUGCCAUACAUUCUGAACUAGUGACGUCAUCGGCCAUCAAGGUGGCCGUGACUUACUUCCGACACGCCGCGACGCUGAGAGGAAAUUGAGUUUAUAAAGGUUAUGUUUGGUUUAAUAUGGAUAAUUCUUAUAAUAAAGUCUAUCAAUGUAUUUUAAAAAAUACGUGAAAUGAGUCGUAAUUCAAAUUUUAGAUGAAUAUUUGUCAUUAUUUUUAUCGGAUAAUGUUUUUAAUACAUUUUUAAUGGUAGAAGAGAUACAACUAGCGAUGUCACUAUACAAGAAUGUGUAUAAAUACCGCUAAGAUAUUUUAAAAUAGAAAUAUCAUCCCAAUAUUCUUAGGCUAGAUACGAAAGUGAAUGGGUUCUGUGAGCAACUGCCAACUAAAAAAUUUGAAAUAAACAGUAAAUAACAUUGAAUGAGAUCCACUGUAGAAGUUCUAGUGUUAAGUGCAUAAUGUCGCUAAUUUACUUAAUGCAUUUGAAAACUGACUAAACGAAUAAACACAUUAUAAAAUUAUCUUUGAUAAAUUACUAAACAUAACCGAAAUUCUAAUUAAGUCAUUAAAUAAAAUUAUCAUGCAAAAUAUGCACUUGACGCUAUUUUCAAGUUUACAGCAGAAACCCUUUUCAAGAACCUAAUUAUUAACCCUUUGUAAACUAUUUGCUGGUAUUCAUAGUCUUAAGCAAUUUGCUAUUUAUUUAUCCUUGAAUUUGAAAGUAAUGUUAGUGAAGAACCUGGUUUCGGGGGGAGCCUAAGGAUUGUUUCGGGCCUCGUCGGGUUGACGAUAUCGUGGCAUAGAGUAUUGGUCAAUGGCUUUGUAUGAAUGGUGAUGGGUGAAUGUCUGUUAAUUUUCUUGUAUGUUGUAUUUUUAGAUUCAUGAAGAACCUUAUUUUCAUUUUAUUAUCUAUAUAUAUAUAUUAUAAAAAUGAAUGUUUGGUGUAUGUCCUUUAUAGACUCAGAAACUAUU